rnacentral:rRNA from 1 species
UACGUAGGGACCGAGCGUUGUCCGGAGUUACUGGGCGUAAAGGGCGCGCAGGCGGCGGUGCUGGCCCGGCGUGAAAGCCCCCGGCUCAACCGGGGAGGGUCGUCGGGGACCGCACCGCUUGAGGGCGGUAGGGGCCGGUGGAAUGCCUGGUGUAGUGGUGAAAUGCGUAGAGAUCAGGCAGAACACCUGGGGCGAAGGCGGCCGGCUGGGCCGUCCCUGACGCUGAGGCGCGAAGGCGUGGGGAGCGAACGGG